AUUGUUACCUCUUGGUAAAUUCAUGUGACAACAUAUUUCUUUGCAUUUGGAAUACGGGAAUAGAAAAGAGGACGUUUUUUUCGCAGAGAGAAUUAUCUCAACGAGGUGAUCCUCCGUUAAAGAUGUCCUACAGAUAUUCCGCCAAAGUGCCUCCGGGCUUGAUGACUCUUUUGGAAGGCCUCAGUCGGUCCGUGGUUAAAAGACGGCCAGAUUCCAUCUCACAGUUUGCUACAUUUUACUUCGCCGAGCUCUUGCACUUCAGGACAGAAAAUCCAACUCUUGCCAUCAACGACCUUGUGAGAGAAUUCAAUACAACUAAAGUGCCUAAGUUCCCAAGUCAUAGCAUUGGAGCUGUGAUUGCUCCGCUGGCAGUUCAGAAUGAAAGUGCCACAGCAGUGUCUCCUGGUGGUCAAUAUGUCCAACCAUUUGGAAUUUAC